AUAACCUUGGGAAACUGAGGCUAAAACCGGAUGUAAAAAAGAAUCUGGAACGAUCUUUUUUAGAAAAGCAAUGCUUAAGGAUGGGUCGGCGGCCGAUUAGGCUGUUGGUGAGGUAAUGGCUCACCAAACCUAUGAUCGGUAGGGGCCAUGAAAGUGGGAGCCCCGAGAAGGACACUGAGGUACUGGUCCUAGCCCUACGGGGUGCAGCAGGCGCGAAACCUCUACAAUAUACGCAAGUGUGAUAGGGGGACCCAGAGUGCUUAUCUCUAAGAUAAGCUUUUGUCAAGGGUAAAUACCUUGGAGAAUAAGUGGUGGGCAAGACUGGUGCCAGCCGCCGCGGUAACACCAGCGCCACGAGUAGGAACCGCGUUUAUUUGGUCUAAAGCAUCCGUAGCCGGAUUGACAAGUUCUUUGUGAAAUUGUUGGGCUUAACCUAACAGCGUGCAAAGAAUACUAUCUUUCUAGAGACUGGAGAGGAGUUAGAGGUAUUCUGAGGGGAGCGGUAAAAUGCUAUAAUCCUCAGACGACCACCUGUGGCGAAGGCGUCUAACUAGAACAGUUCUGACGGUGAGGGAUGAAAGCUGGGGGAGCGAUCCGGAUUAGAUACCCGAGUAGUCCCAGCCGUAAACUCUGCGAGCUAGGUGUUGCAUGGUCUUCGUGACUACACAGUAUCGGUAAUGAAGGUGUUAAGCUCGCCACCUGGGGAGU
rnacentral:rRNA from 1 species